rnacentral:lncRNA from 1 species
UCCCAUUGUGUCUCAGUGGGUUAAGGACCUGAUGUCUUUGUGAGGAUGCAGGUUCAAUCCCUGGCCUUGCUCAGUGGGUUAAGGAUCUGGUGUUGCUGUGGUAUAGGUCACAGCUGCAACUCCAAUUGGACCCCUGGCCCAGGAACUUCCACAUGCUGCAGGCACAGCUGUGAAAAGACAUAUAGUCAGCAUAGAAAGAAUUCCCAUAUUUCCUCACCCAGAUUCCCUAAGUAAUUCCAUGCUUGCUACUCUCCAGCUUUGAAGCCCCCAUGACCUCCUGGCAGGCUUUGUUCAGCAGGCUCCAUUCUGGCUUGAGAAGCAGCUGGAUAGGCAAGGAAGGCUGCUCUGAAAUGCUGCAAAGGGAUGAAGUCAGACCCUGUGACAUCCAGAAGGAAUCUGACUCUUGGAGUUUAGGGUUCCUCUCUGGUGUGUGAUUGUUCACCCAGACUCAGGCGUGGAGUGCAGAGAGGCUAAGGGACUACAGAGGACAGCGUGAUGUGAUGGAAAGAACUUGCUGAUUUGAGUGAGGAAAUUCAAGUUCAGGCUCUGCCAUGCAUUCAUUGGGAGUGUGGCUGUGGACUUUUCAGCUGUAAAAAACACUGAGUCUGUGAAAGUGCUUUGUAGAUUGCCAGGACAUCCUUGAAGGAAAGAUAGGAUUCCUUGGGCCACACCAUCACUUUAAAGCAGGGACCCUGCUGUUCAGAAAGGUUUGAGGACUUGCCCAAGGUCUCAGCUAUGAAUAACGGGCCUGGGACACACCUAAUACUCAUCACACUGCCUUCCUUACUGGGCACAAUUUGUCUUUACUCUCAAGGUCAAAAAUGACCCAAAGACUGGGGUUCCCUUGUGGAUUAAGGAUCCAGCAUUCUCACUGUAGCAGCUUGGGUUGCUGCUGUAGCUCGGAUUUGAUGCCUGGCCCAGGAACUUCCGAAUGAUAUGGGUGCAGCCCAAAAAACAAACAAACAAAAACACCGAAGACAGUAGCCUCAUGGUUACAGUGUUGAGAUGUUGGUGGGAGGGGCUGAUGCCUCUUGAGACGCUCUGUCCCUGGAUUGUUUUCAUGAAUAAUAUUUCAUUUGGGGGCCUGGAAGAUGGUGGUCCAUGUGAGGUAAAGGUACUGUUUCAUAAAAGAGAGCUUCUGCAAUUCACCAUGUUGGGACAACUGGUUAGUAUUUAGAGAAAAAGUAAAGCUAGGUUGUGACCUUGUGCCUUAUACCACAAUACAUUCCAGAAAAGUCAACGAUGACACUAUAAAAGAAUUAAAAGAAAAUGAAGGCAAUAUAAAGAAUUAUCUUGGAAUGGAGAUGUUUCACAGGAAAUGGGAAACCUAGAAAUAAAGGAAAGGAUCAAACUGCAUACAAGUUGAAAAACACAUGUGGCAAAGCUUACAGAGUCAGAAGGUAAUGGGACUGUGAAAAGUACUUUGAAUACACCUAAUAAGCAAAAGCUAUCCUGCGGUAUAAAAAGAGCACUUGGAGUUCCCGUCAUGGUGCAGUGGAAAUAAUCUGAUUAGUAUCCAUGAGGACACAGGUUCAAUCCCUGGCUUCGCUCAGUGGAUUAAGGACCCGGUGUUGCUGUGAGCUGUGAUGUAGGUCGCAGAUGUGGCUUGGAUGCUAAGUUGCUGUGGCUGUGGCAUAGGCCAGCAGCUACAGCUUUGAUUCAAGCCCUAGCCUAGGAACCUGCAUAUGCUGCGGGUGCGGCCCUAAAAUAAAAUAAAACUUUAGGAGUGGAGUUUCUGCUGUGGCGCGGCAGGUUUGGUGGCAUCUUUGCAGCACUGGGACACAAUUUCAAUCCCUGACCUGGCACAGAGAGUUAAGCAUUACCUCAGCUGUGGCUCAGAUCUGAUCCCUGCGCCAGGAAGUCCAUAUUCUGCAGGACAGCCAAAAAAGGGGAAAAAAAAGUUUAUUAAUAAACAGUGUGGUUUUUGUUUUUGUUUUAAAGCAUCUUCCCCUCUCUUUAUGGGAAGGUUAACAAAUCCGACUAGGAACCAUGAGGUUGCAGGUUCGGUCCUUGGCCUUGCUUAGUGGGUUAAGGAUCCGGUGUUGCCGUGAACUGUGGUGUAGGUUGCAGAUGUGGCUCAGAUCCUGCGUUGCUGUGGCUGUGGCAUAGGCCAAUGGCUACAGCUCCGAUUAGACCCCUAGCCUGGGAACCUCCAUAUGCCACGGGAGCAGCCCUAGAAAAGGCAAAAAGAUGAAAACAAAACAGAACAACAACAAAAAAUAUAUUGUCACAUAUGAGUGCAAAGACACCUGUCCAAGGAAGGCAUAGCAUGUGGGAAGGUUUGAAACAAUCCAGAGGUAAUAAUAGCCUCUAAAAAGAUUGUGAUGUACUUGGAAAUAGAUUAGAUCUACUGGUGAUCUACUUGGAAAUAUUUAGUUAGGAAAUAAAUUCCAAGAUAGAUUUUAUUUUAUUUUAUUUUAUUUUUUAAGUUUUGACUGCAUUUGCAGCAUGUGGAAGUCCUGGGUCCAGGGAUGGAAUACAAGCUACAGCUGCAACCCAAGCCACAGCAGUGACAAUGCCAGAUCCUUAAUCCAUUGCACCACCAGGUAACUCCCAAGAUAGGUUUUAUAGAGAAAAAGAAAAAUCUAGAUACAGAAUGAUAUGUUGAGAAAGCUCCACUUGAGUGAACAUGUAUUUGUUUAUGGCAGAGAAAGUGGGAAGAAACUUAGGCACUUCAUAAUGGUUGCCUCUGGAGAGAGGAUCUGGGGGUUUGGGGUGAAAGAGUUAAUUUUUGCAGUGGGCAUUUCUUUCUUUUUUCUGAAGUUAAUAAUUGCUUUACCUUUAACUUUUUUUUUUAGAUUUUUUAAAAUUAAAGAGUAGUUGAUUUACAGUGUUUCUUCAAUAUCUGUUGUACAGCAAAUUGACCCAACCACACACAGUUCCCUGUGCUCUACAGUAGGGCCUCAUUGCCCAUCCAUCCCGAAUGUAACUGUUUGCAUCCACCAACCCUCAACUUCCCAUCAAUCCCGCUCCCUCCCCCCCCACACAAUGGGCAUUUCUCAGUUUCUGUCCUCUUGGGGAUUCUUUGCGAUUCCUAAGUAAGAAGAUUCUGUGUCUUAUCUCCUUGAAAAUCCCGGUCAUUACACUUUGCUGCUGCUGCUCCCCAAUCCUUGAUCUGCUCCUUCUAGAAUUCUUGUGUGUUUUUUUGGACUUUCUUAUCCAAGCCUCCAUAUCUCUAAAGUACUCUUUCGUGUUUACGUCCUAUUUCUCUAGGCUGCAUAUGGGUAUUUGCUUCCAAUUUCCUUUCUAGUUCACUAAUUCUCUUUCAGUUAUGUCUGUAUGCCACUAUUUAGCCUGUUCAUUGAGUGUUUUGAGUUUCAAGAACCAUAAUUUAGGAGUUCCCAUCGUGGAGAAGUGGUUAACGAAUCUGACUAGGAACCAUGAGGUUGUGGGUUCGAUCCCUGGCUUUGCUCAGUGGGUUAAGGAUCUAGCGUUGCCGUGAGCUGGGGUGUAGGUUGCAGACGCGGCUCAGAUCCCACGUUGCCGGCGGCUACAGCAACAAUUAGACCCCUAGCCUGAGAACCUCGAUAUGCUGCAGGAGCGGCCCUAGAAAAGGCAAAAAGACCAAAAACACAAAAAAACAAAAAAAAA